AAAGCCAAAUGUCAUUUAUUUUUUGUUCUGUGUCAGCGUCUCAUGAGCUCGUUACGUCUUCAAGAACAUUAAUUUCAUCUGAGAACGUGCCGCCCUCCCUUUUGCGAUGUGCAAAGAUCGUGCGCAAGUCGUGCGUUUUUUGGAGCGCCAGUCACGUACGAGUCGUUCAAGGAAUCGAAGGAAUGUACUACGGGCGCUCGUAGGACUCCGCAGCAUGUCCGCAGCUGAUGGCUGACGCCCGUGGCUACCGACACGAGACCGGCUACCGACUGCGUGACAGUAUGAAAGAAGCUACUGCCAUAGGAUGAGGAUCUUCGCGACACCUGUGAGGUCUGCUAGCAUUGCUUUAUGCGCCUCAAGGAAAAUCUGUCUACAUCUAUGAGAAUUGCGAUGAGGUAGUCGAGGCAUUUCUUCAGGAAGAAGAAGCGAUUGAUAUCUUGAACAGGUCGAUCUUGGCCCACGACUGUAAAUGGAAAACCAAAAGUGGCGGU
rnacentral:lncRNA from 1 species